AUGCGAGCGGACCCUCCGCUUUGGCGGAACCUGCAUGGUGAUGGCUUUGGAGUUUGGUGUGCUACUUCUGCACUGAGUUCUGGUGUUGUUUGGUUGCCGUUUGGUAUUCAGUUUUCAUAUUGUUCAAGGCUUCUUUGCCAAUGAACUGUACGUUCUGGAGAUCUCGCGAGCAAUACUGCAUCGUUAUGAGUGUUGGUGAGGGAAUAACUCCGAAUCCGUCUCCCAACGAGUCAUUGGCCCCGAUCGCGGACGAUCUCCAACUCUCUCCUUCUCUCUCCAAGCAAACGUCCACCAGAGUAUGCAACACUAGGACUGCAACCAGGGAGUAGUAGAGUACUCUGCCACACCCUCACUGCAGCUGCAGGCAUCCACGCAGUCGCUGGGUCGAUGAUGGAUCAUGGAGGAGGCAACGACACCCUGCUAUAAAACUAUUUGAAUUUGAUAUUGAUGUAAACUAAACUAAUAUUCAAAUACACCCGUGCUGGGCCGCAGUGAAUGUGCCCCAAAUCCACGAGUGUACUUGACAUGAGACAUUCAGCAGCCUGUCAGCGAUCCACGAUAGCUCUACUUGUACAAGCGAAGGUCGCUUCAACUCGGACAAGAAUAUCUAAAAUUUUAUAGGACGUGCUGCAUUUGCAUUCUCUCCGCCAAAGCGGAGCGUUGAGGAGCACAGUACGAGUCGUAGUCUACAUGUAUGUGUGACCGCUGCAUCGUUAUCACGGGCGAUGCCCAAAGUACGUCAUUUUACAUUAUUUUAGUAGUUUAGCAUUUUCCAGUCUAGUGCAGGAUUUGAGGAAUUCAUUGUGUCAAUUCUUUGGCAAGUGAGGUAUUUCUUGUAUUUGAUUCGGCAUGUUGUGUUUGAGAAGUGAUCAGUUGUUCCGGCACACUCACUCCUGUCCGCUCCUGGAAAGUCCAAUACUGUUUUCAGCGCUAUUCCUAGUACUUAGCAGCACGCUAUAGCGUCGACUGCGAACUAUACCUGGAGUUACUAUUAAUUUUCAAGAUAAUUAUAAGAUGUGGAUGAACCUAUUGGAACAAAUAAAACAUUUGCCGCCCUGUCUUCGCUCACCUUGUGAAGUGAAUAUCUACCCUGUGCCGGCCACUGUCGUGGACUUAUGCCAUCCUUCUGGAUAUGUACUACUCGUGAUCGCCACAUCAAAUGGACCACGAUAAUGUCGUGGGAAGGUGUGCUAGCGGAAACGGUUUUCUUGCGAAGCUACUUCCCCAACCUAGUACCUGCUAGUAUUCAGUAUUGUUGUCUGUGCGACAAACUGCAGUUGACUUGCGAUGUGUCGAAACUUUCGAGAAGUGUACACGGAAACGGGCAACGGAAGCGGAUUGAUAAGCUGCUGCUCUGGAGACGAUUUGCAGAUGGUGAAUGCUGACUCGUCGUCGAUGUACUGUGCUGGAUCACAUCAUCUUUGGAGAACGGCACUCGUUAUGUCGUCGUUUGUGGGCAGGCAGGAAUGGCCGGGUGGUAGGUGAGCGGUGGCGGCUGUUCAUCAAGAUCUGCUCGUCGUGACUGGAAUAUGUACGGGCGAAGGUUAGGCUGACGCCGAUGCCAACACCACAGGGCUACUGCUGCUGCUGCUGACGACGACGAUGAUGAUGCAAACUUCAUGUCAAAUUCACCAAAGCCAUGGCCUAUCUUUGGCGCGGGUGUUUGAAGGUCACACACGGCGGGCCUGAUCAGCCUGAUCAGCCUGAUCUGCAAUCAAGAUAUCUGCUUCACUCAGAGUCAGUUGCUCCAGGUCUCUGUGUUCAGCGUGAGCCGUGAUCUAGGUUCUUGCCAUGACCAAGUGGACAUCGAGUAAUGACUGUGCUCCAUUCAGCCUGUGAGUGGGGACAUUCAGCAAUGGCCAUGCUCCAUCCAGCCUGUGAGUGGGGACAUUCGGCAAUGACCGUGCUCCAUCCAGCCUGUGAGUGAUCCAGCCUGAGAGUGUUUCAACUAAUUUCUUUGCUAUAGGUUAGCUGAACUAGUGCACAGCAUGUGUUUGCUCCAUACGUAUAUGGACACUUCACUUUCAACGUUUCGUGUCCCCCGCUUGGUCUACCCUGCAUUUCUUGAGAGCAGACUUGGUUCACGGUCCCUUGGGCAAGCGAAAGGUCAGCAUUGCACGCUACGUUGCUGCCACGUUCCUGGAUCAUUUUGAAUAUUUAUGCAAUGAGUAGUCAGCUGCAGAUAUCCUUACGGAGACCGUGCUGCCCAAGGAUGAUCUGUACAGAUACCGGCAACGCCAGUCACUAUAUCUGACCUUUGCAUGUGCUGGUAGAGCUGCAUCUGCGUCAUACUUGGUUAUAUUCGAGGAUUGUGUCUACAUGUAUGUAUCUGCGCUCAACGUUGGAGCCAAAAACAAUAUUGCCAUCUCACCUUUCCCAAUAUCUGUGCUCUGCAGGUACCUAAUGUUUCCUUUCAUGUUAUACAAUCAUGUAGAUGUUUCUCACAUAAAUUAUUCACUUGACAUGGUUACCAUGGAGAUCUAAUACAAGUAGAACAA